GUGCUUGCUUCUGUGGCACAUAUACUAAAAUUGGAAUAAUACAGAGAAGAUUAGCAUGGUCUCUACGAGUAUGUUGUGGAAAUUUGUGAAGUGUUUGAUAUUUAA